AGAUUGAACGCUGGCGGCAUGCCUUACACAUGCAAGUCGAACGGCAGCACGGGAGCAAUCCUGGUGGCGAGUGGCGAACGGGUGAGUAAUACAUCGGAACGUGCCCAAUCGUGGGGGAUAACGCAGCGAAAGCUGUGCUAAUACCGCAUAAGAUCUACGGAUGAAAGCAGGGGAUCGCAAGACCUUGCGCGAAUGGAGCGGCCGAUGGCAGAUUAGGUAGUUGGUGAGGUAAAGGCUCACCAAGCCUUCGAUCUGUAGCUGGUCUGAGAGGACGACCAGCCACACUGGGACUGAGACACGGCCCAGACUCCGUACGGGAG
rnacentral:rRNA from 1 species